GGGGCCGUUUUGGAUUUGACAGGGUGGCGCUGAGUAUGUUAGCAUGCAGUGCGUUGUACGGAGAGCACUUUAAAGAGAACGUUCAAAACAAUAAUUGGCGAAAAUAACUACGCCUUAGCUGCCUAAUUUAGAAUUAGCCUAGCUUUUGUCCCUCUGACUGCUGCGUUGUUAGGUUAGAAUAUGGGGCAUCGAAAUAACGACGCUGGCAAUUGUAAGGUGCGGUACAAUUGCGAGAUAAAGCACCUAAGGUGAAAGGCUAGGUCGGUUUCCAGCCCGCCAGAUCCCGACAAUUAAUUGGAAAAUAAGCAUGUAGAAGGCAUAAUUUAUCACACAACUGGACAAGGGUUCGAACCCCUUCGGCUCCACAA
rnacentral:tmRNA from 1 species